UCUGCCCCCUCCACAGGAGGCUGGCACUAGUGACAAGUCACUGUUCUGGGCUUGCUUGUGCCAACCAGGAGGUGUGGUCAAAUAGGCAACUUCUGCAAAAAGACAGGAGAUGUGUUCAUCUGACUCAGGCACCUCACAAAGGAGAAAAAGAAAUAUAGAACAUCUGGAAACCUCUGAAAUUAAAAGGAAGCCCAAGUUUGUGUCUCCUUCCACCAGGCAAAGAGUUAUGAUCAUAGAUGCCUUCUUGAUUUGUUAUGCUGGAGUCAAUUGGGUCGUGCCUCUACAGCAGUGACCAAGGAAGAAUGACCCCUGGGAGGAGCACAAAAAGAAGAAAUGCAAUGGUACACCAACACAACUGGACACCUUCAUCUGCCCCAGCUGCAACAAAAC